rnacentral:rRNA from 1 species
UACGUAGGCAGCAAGCGUUGUUCGGAAUUACUGGGCGUAAAGCGUGUGUAGGCGGUUUUCCAAGUCUGGUGUGAAAUCUCCCGGCUUAACUGGGGGGGUGCAUUAGAAACUGGAAUGCUAGAGGAUGGGAGAGGUAAGCGGAAUUCCGGGUGUAGCGGUGAAAUGCGUAGAGAUCAGGAGGAACACCGGUGGUGUAGACAGCUUACUGGACCAUUUCUGACGCUGAGACACGAAAGCGUGGGUAGCAAACAGG